UGGGGAAUAUUGCGCAAUGGGGGGAACCCUGACGCAGCAACGCCGCGUGGAGGAAGAAGGUCUUCGGAUUGUAAACUCCUGUCUUCUGGGUAGAUAAUGACGGUACCAGAGGAGGUAGCCACGGCUAACUACGUGCCAGCAGCCGCGGUAAUACGUAGGUGGCGAGCGUUGUCCGGAAUUACUGGGCGUAAAGGGCGCGUAGGCGGCUUUUAAAGUUAGAUGUGAAAACCCGGGGCUUAACUUCGGACGUGCAUUUUAAACUGGAGAGCUUGAGUGCAGGAGAGGUAAGUGGAAUUCCUAGUGUAGCGGUGAAAUGCGUAGAUAUUAGGAGGAACACCAGUGGCGAAGGCGACUUACUGGACUGUAACUGACGCUGAGGCGCGAAAGCGUGGGGAGCAAACAG
rnacentral:rRNA from 1 species